rnacentral:lncRNA from 1 species
UGUUUAUGUGAUGGAUUACAUUUAUUGAUUUGCAUAUGUUGAACUAGCUUUGCAUCCCAGGGAUGAAGCCUAGUUGAUGGUGGUGGAUAAGCUUUUUGAUGUGCCACAAGAUUCAGUUUGCUAGUAUUUUUGGAGAAAUAGGAACACUUUUACACUGUUGUUGGGAGUGUAAGUUAGUUCAACCAUUGUGGAAGACAGUGUGGCGAUUCCUCAAGGAUCUAGAACUAGAAAUACCAUUUGACCCAGCAAUCCCAUUACUGGGUAUAUAGUAGAAUGAUUAUAAAUCAUUCUACUAUAAAGACACAUGCACACGUACAUUUAUUGUGACACUGUUCACAAUAGCAAAGACUUGGAACCAACCCAAAUGCCCAUCAGUGAUAGACUGGAUAAAGAAAAUGUGGCACCUAUACACCAUAGAACAGCAAACCAAACAAUGCAUGUUCUCAGUCAUAAGUGGGAGUUGAACACUGAGAACACAAGGACACAGUGAGGGGAACAUCACACACCAGGGCCUGUUGGGGGGUGGGGUACUAGGGGAGGAAUAGCAUUAGGAGAAAUACCUAAUGUAGAUGAAGGGUUCACGGGUGCAGCAAACCACCAUGGCACAUGUAUACCUAUGUAACAAACCUGCACGUUCUGCACAUGUACCCGAGAACUUAAAAUAUAAAAAAGUACUUUUUGUUUUAUUUUUGCUAUGUUCUAUACAUUCUUUGAAAUGUCAUUAUAAAACAGAGUUAAAAUACCAAGAGAUUAAAAUAAUUUUAACUAGGUAACAGGCUAGACAAGUAAUGACUCAGGUUAUUUUAGGAAAAAUAUGAUCAAGUUAAUUAGGUCUUAUAGGAAGUGAUGAGUAGCUUAUGCCACAUCUGUGGAUCUACAUCAAGGAGAAUGACUGACCUAUAUUGUAGAAGCCAGGAGAAGC